rnacentral:rRNA from 1 species
UACGUAGGGCGCGAGCGUUGUCCGGAUUUAUUGGGCGUAAAGAGCUCGUAGGCGGCUUGUCGCGUCGAAUGUGAAAUCUCGGGGCUCAACUCCGAGCUUGCAUUCGAUACGGGCAGGCUAGAGUUCGGUAGGGGAGACUGGAAUUCCUGGUGUAGCGGUGAAAUGCGCAGAUAUCAGGAGGAACACCGAUGGCGAAGGCAGGUCUCUGGGCAUUAACUGACGCUGAGGAGCGAAAGCAUGGGGAGCGAACAGG